rnacentral:rRNA from 1 species
UUUUUUUGAGAAUUUGAUCCUGGUUCAGGAUGAACGCUAGCGGUGCGCCUUAAGCAUGCAAAUCGAGCGGGGUCCGCAAGGACUCAGCGGUGGACGGGUGAGUAACACGUAGGAAUCUACCCUUUGGUGGGGAAUAGCCCUCCGAAAGGAGGGGUAAUACCGCAUAACUCUGUAAGGAAAAAGGGCUUAACUGCCCGCCGAAGGAUGAGCCUGCGACCUAUCAGCUUGUUGGUGAGGUAAUGGCUUACCAAGGCUUUGACGGGUAGCUGGACUGAGAGGUUGGUCAGCCACAAUGCUACUGAGAUACGGAGCAUACAUCUACGGAUGGCAGCAACUGGGAAUCAUGCGCAAUGGGCGAAAGCCUGACGCUGCGACACCGCGUGGAGGAUGAAGGUUUUCGGAUCGUAAACUCCUUUUUUCUAAUUAUCAUGAUUAGAAGAAUAAGCACCUGCAAACUACGUGCCAGAAGCCUCGGUAAUACGUAGGGUGCAAGCGUUAUCCGGAUUUAUUGGGCGUAAAGAGUUUCGUAGGCGUUUGAUUAAGUUUUUGGUUAAAGCCCAAAGCUUAACUUUGGAAAAGCCAAAAAGACUAAUUGAAUAGAGAGUCUCAGGGGAUGCUGGAACACUCAGUGUAGGGGUGAAAUCCGUUGAUAUUGAGUGGAAUACCAAGGGCGAAGGCGAGCAUCUGGGGGACUUCUGACGCUGAUGAACGAAAGCUAGGGGAGCAAAGCAGAUUAGAGACCUGCGUAGUCCUAGCCGUAAACAAUCCUCGCUAGAUUUCUUUAACAUUCGUUGAGGGAGUCGUAAGUUAACACGUUAAGCGAGGCGCCUGGGGAGUACGGCCGCAAGGCUAAAACUCAAAGGAAUUGACGGGGACCCGCACAACCAGUGGAGCAUGUGGUUUAAUUCGACACGAAGCGAAAAACCUUACCUGGGCUUGAAAUCCAAGCGUUCUAUUUCCGGGAAACCGGAGAAAUCCGCAAGGAGGCUUGGACAGCUGCUGCAUGGCUGUCGUCAGCUCGUGCCGUGAGGUGUAUUCUUAAGUGAAACAACGAGCGCAACCCCCAUUCUAUGUUAAAUUUUCAUAGAAGACUGCCUGUUUUUUAAACAGGAGGAAGGAGGGGACGACGUCAAGUCAGCACGGCGCUUAUGUCCAGGGCAACACACAUCCUACAAUGGCGAAAAACAAUGGGCAGCCAAGCCGUAAGGUGGAGCUAAUCCCUGAAAUUUCGCCUCAGUUCAGAUUGAGGGCUGAAAUUCGCCCUCAUGAAGUUGGAAUUGGUAGUAAUCGCGGAUCAGCAGGCCGCGGUGAAUACGUUCUCGGGUCUUGUACA